rnacentral:rRNA from 1 species
GACGAACGCUGGCGGCGUGCCUAAUACAUGCAAGUAGAACGAAGUUGCGGACGGGUGCGUAACGCGUAGGUAACUGCCUCAUAGCGGGGGAUAACUAUUGGAAAUGAUAGCUAAUACCGCAUACUGUGAGAUGGACCUACGUUGUAUUAGCUAGUUGGUGAGGUAAAGGCUCACCAAGGCGACGAUACAUAGCCGACCUGAGAGGUGUAUCGGCCACACUGGGACGGAGACACGGCCCAGACUGCUACGGGAGGCAGCAGUAGGGAAACGUCGGGAAGGGAAGGAAGGCUGAACGAGGAACGACGCGUGAGUGAAGAAGGGUUUAGGAUCGUAAAGCUCUGUUGGUAGAGAGGCGGUAACUAGCCAGAAAGGGACGGCUAACUACGUGCCAGCAGCCGCGGUAAUUC